GAUGAACGCUGGCGGCGUGCUUAACACAUGCAAGUCGAACGGUGAAGGCGGAGCUUGCUCUGCUGGAUCAGUGGCGAACGGGUGAGUAACACGUGAGCAAUCUGCCCCUGACUCUGGGAUAAGCGCUGGAAACGGCGUCUAAUACUGGAUACGAGCUGCGAAGGCAUCUUCAGCAGCUGGAAAGAAUUUCGGUCAGGGAUGAGCUCGCGGCCUAUCAGCUUGUUGGUGAGGUAAUGGCUCACCAAGGCGCCGACGGGUAGCCGGCCUGAGAGGGUGACCGGCCACACUGGGACUGAGACACGGCCCAGACUCCUACGGGAGGCAGCAGUGGGGAAUAUUGCACAAUGGGCGAAAGCCUGAUGCAGCAACGCCGCGUGAGGGACGACGGCCUUCGGGUUGUAAACCUCUUUUAGCAGGGAAGAAGCGAAAGUGACGGUACCUGCAGAAAAAGCGCCGGCUAACUACGUG
rnacentral:rRNA from 1 species